rnacentral:lncRNA from 1 species
GGACCUGCCAAGGCUGCAUAAGGCCUUGACUUUCACCUCUAGAAUGGAGAAGAAGGGAAGCCAGAGAUGGGCAUUGUCCUGACCGCAGGAGGCCCACAGCAGAUCAGAUCUACCCGUCAGCUGGCAAGCAGCACGAGCACCAGCACGUCGUAUUGUCCCGAGGACAAUCCAAACAGGGGCCCAAGGCCAUCAGAUGUCUGAGGAGGAGUGGUGGAGACUUGGUGUCCAGGAGUCCAGGCUGGGUUCGGGACACGCUCAUGAGCCUGAGCGCCUGCUCUUCCCUGUAGAUGACCUCUGCUGAGAGAUCCUCUAACAUGGCGUAUGUCGGGGGUCAUUGGAGAAACUGUCUCCAAAUCUAACGUCUACGUGUACCUGCCCUGGCAAUCGGGAAACCCUUGAAAAAUGUACAAGUCGUUCAUCCCUGCCUGAGAUGUGUGCCGAAGCCACGGAGCUGCAAGCAGCGAUUGCAAGGUCUGGAACUCAGAAGCUUGAGCGAUCCUCCUGAGUCAGCCUUCCAAGCUGCUGGGACAGCAGAGACGUGAACUUCCACACCCAGCUCCAUUACAUCUUCAUUGUUAUUCUCCUCCCCCCCUUCCUUUCUGUUAACAAAUACAUGUUGAGCAACUACUAAGUGUCAUGUACUGGCCGGUACCAGUGACAUUUCAGGGAACAAACCAAAUACGUAUUUAUGUCUUCAUCUGUUACAUCUGGCUUUUAAAGGCAGCAGCAGGACAGUCGCCUUGCCAAAUAUUUUCUCUUCCCUGCCUUCCCUAUCAAGGUAAAUCUUUGCACUUAAAAAUAAGCUCAAAUAGCAAAGAGCACCAAAUUAUUAUCACCA